CCGCUGCCGCCCUUGUCUGUUUGCACUUUGGAUCCCCGGCUGCUAGCGCGGCUCGAAACGAUGUGAAGGGAACGGCACCUGUUUUCGACGGAGAGAGAGCCCCCUCAGCAGACUGCGGAAGGACUCGCUGCCUACUGGAUGGACAGCACACUGCUGGAACUUCAAGAAGGAGAAACUUGGAAAAGGGAAAAAUGUUGGGAGGACACUUGACUAUGGAAGUUGGACGGCAUAGUCUCUACUUUUCCACCCUGAUACCCCCUUCUCUAUCAUGACCCCCCCCCCCCCCUUCUCUACCCUGAUACCCAUUCCCAUGAUAUUCAUAAUUCAUAAUUAAUUAAUAAAUAAAUAAAUAAAAUAGCAUCUCUACCUUCUAAUUCUAGAGACGAUAGAUUGCCUAUUGCUGGAUGUCAUGGCCCAGCCAUUACACUUUUCAUUAAUCGCUGCUCGGGGUGUUGAGGAUUUCCGAAUCCAGGCCUUCUCUCCUUUUGCACUCACUGUAAGUCACCUCAAAUGUAAAUGUAAGCAGCGAAAAGCAUCACACCGACAAAACAGAGGAACAACAGGUCCCGAAGGGGAUGCCUCCUUUAAAGCUAGGUCUGCCUCUCUCUCUGCCUCUCCCAAAAAAAAAACAAAAAAAAAACAAAA